GACAGGGGGCUCGAGCGUUAAUCGGAAUCACUGGGCUUAAAGGGUGCGUAGGCGGGUCUUUAAGUCAGGGGUGAAAUCCUGGAGCUCAACUCCAGAACUGCCUUUGAUACUGAAGAUCUUGAGUUCGGGAGAGGUGAGUGGAACUGCGAGUGUAGAGGUGAAAUUCGUAGAUAUUCGCAAGAACACCAGUGGCGAAGGCGGCUCACUGGCCCGAUACUGACGCUGAGGCACGAAAGCGUGGGGAGCAAACAGG
rnacentral:rRNA from 1 species